rnacentral:rRNA from 1 species
UUCCAGACUCCUACGGGAGGCAGCAGUGAGGAAUAUUGGUCAAUGGUCGGGAGACUGAACCAGCCAAGCCGCGUGAGGGAUGAAGGUACAGAGUAUCGUAAACCUCUUUUGUCAGGGAACAAAGGCGGGGACGUGUCCCCGGAUGAGUGUACCUGAAGAAAAAGCAUCGGCUAACUCCGUGCCAGCAGCCGCGGUAAUACGGAGGAUGCGAGCGUUAUCCGGAUUUAUUGGGUUUAAAGGGUGCGCAGGCGGUCUGUUAAGUCAGCGGUCAAAUGUCGGGGCUCAACCCCGGCCUGCCGUUGAAACUGGCGGCCUCGAGUGGGCGAGAAGUAUGCGGAAUGCGUGGUGUAGCGGUGAAAUGCAUAGAUAUCACGCAGAACUCCGAUUGCGAAGGCAGCAUACCGGCGCCCGACUGACGCUGAGGCACGAAAGCGUGGGUAUCGAACAGGAUUAGAUACCCUAGUA